rnacentral:rRNA from 1 species
UGGGGAAUAUUGCACAAUGGGCGAAAGCCUGAUGCAGCAACGCCGCGUGAGGGACGACGGCCUUCGGGUUGUAAACCUCUUUUAGCAAGGAAGAAGCGAAAGUGACGGUACUUGCAGAAAAAGCGCCGGCUAACUACGUGCCAGCAGCCGCGGUAAUACGUAGGGCGCAAGCGUUAUCCGGAAUUAUUGGGCGUAAAGAGCUCGUAGGCGGUUUGUCGCGUCUGCUGUGAAAACCCGAGGCUCAACCUCGGGCCUGCAGUGGGUACGGGCAGACUAGAGUGCGGUAGGGGAGAUUGGAACUCCUGGUGUAGCGGUGGAAUGCGCAGAUAUCAGGAAGAACACCGAUGGCGAAGGCAGAUCUCUGGGCCGUAACUGACGCUGAGGAGCGAAAGGGUGGGGAGCAAACAGGCUUAGAUACCCUGGUAGUCCACCCGUAAACGUUGGAACUAGUUGUGGGUCCAUUCCACGGAUUCCGUGACGCAGCUAACGCAUUAAGUUCCCCGCCUGGGGAGUACGGCCGCAAGGCUAAACUCAAAUGAAUUGACGGGGUCAUAGCUGUUUCCU